AACACUAUCUUUUUCUUGUUCACACCCGAGCCCAACCGAAACAACAAGCUGAGGUUCAUUCUUGUAGACGUUCACCGAAACCCUAUCUUCUCCCUCGUUCUUCCAUCGGCGACAAACAACAAGCUGAGGUUGCAGAGCAUCUUGACGAAAACUCGAAAAGUGUUAAAUCGGCUUUCAAGAAGAAGGUGUGGGAGUCGCACCCCGAUCUCUUCCCAGUUAAAGAUUGGUAUUUUCAAGCGGUGAGAUGUGACAGUGUUCUAAGAAUUCCUUUGGUCUCGUGAGAUAGCUUGGAUUUUCUUUUCUUUUUUCUAUCUCAUCGUGUGCUGUCUUUGGGAGCAACUUGAUGAAACCUGUAAAAAUAUUGUCGGAUGCAUACAGGAACGCGAAAGGGAUUUUUCGUUUUCUUGUUUA